rnacentral:miRNA from 1 species
CUUUUGUUAACAAUUUUGAAACAGUCACAAAUUAGCUAAAAAUCAGUUUAAUAGGCCGUUUUUAGCUAAUUUGUGACCGUUUCAAAUUUGCUAACAAAAGUUUAAACACUC